UACGGAGGGUGCGAGCGUUGUCCGGAAUCACUGGGUUUAAAGGGUGCGUAGGUGGCGCGUUAAGUCCGUUGUGAAAUCCCUUGGCUCAACCAAGGAACUGCUUCGGAUACUGGCGUGCUUGAGGCUAGUAGGGGUCACUGGAACUGACGGUGGAGCGGUGAAAUGCGUAGAUAUCGUCAGGAACGCCGAUGGUGAAGACAGGUGACUGGGCUAGUUCUGACACUGAGGCACGAAAGCGUGGGGAGCAAACAGG
rnacentral:rRNA from 1 species